CCUACGGGAGGCUGCAGUGAGGAAUAUUGGUCAAUGGACGAGAGUCUGAACCAGCCAAGUCGCGUGAAGGAUGACUGCCCUAUGAGUUGUAAACUUCUUUUAUAUGAGGAUAAACUGUUCCACGUGUGGGAGGUUGUAUGUACCAUAUGAAUAAGGAUCGGCUAACUCCGUGCCAGCAGCCGCGGUAAUACGGAGGAUCCGAGCGUUAUCCGGAUUUAUUGGGUUUAAAGGGUGCGUAGGUGGUUUGUUAAGUCAGUUGUGAAAGUUUGGGGCUCAACCGUAAAAUUGCAGUUGAUACUGGUAGUCUUGAGUAUAGUAGAGGUGGGCGGAAUGCGUGGUGUAGCGGUGAAAUGCUUAGAGAUCACGCAGAACUCCGAUUGCGAAGGCAGUUCACUGGACUGCAACUGACACUGAGGCUCGAAAGUGUGGGUAUCAAACAGGAUUAGAUACCCGAGUAGUC
rnacentral:rRNA from 1 species